AUUGAACGCUGGCGGCAUGCCUUACACAUGCAAGUCGAACGGUAACGCGGGGCAACCUGGCGACGAGUGGCGAACGGGUGAGUAAUGCAUCGGAACGUGCCUGGUAGUGGGGGAUAACUGCUCGAAAGAGCAGCUAAUUCCGCAUACGACCUGAGGGUGAAAGGGGGGGAUCGCAAGACCUCUCGCUAUCAGAGCGGCCGAUGUCGGAUGAGCUAGUUGGUGGGGUAAAGGCCCACCAAGGCAACGAUCCGUAGCUGGUCUGAGAGGACGACCAGCCACACUGGGACUGAGACACGGCCCAGACUCCUACGGGAGGCAGCAGUGGGGAAUUUUGGACAAUGGACGCAAGUCUGAUCCAGCCAUGCCGCGUGCGGGAAGAAGGCCUUCGGGUUGUAAACCGCUUUUGUCAGGGAAGAAAUCUUCUGGGUUAAUACCUCGGGAUGAUGACGGUACCUGAAGAAUAAGCACCGGCUAACUACGUGCCAGCCGCCGCAGUAA
rnacentral:rRNA from 1 species